GCGAGUGAAGCGGCAACAGCUCAAAUUUGAAAGCUGGCUCCGGCCCGCAUUGUAAUUUGCAGAGGAUGCUUUUGGCGAGGUGCCUUCCGAGUUCCCUGGAACGGGACGCCAUAGAGGGUGAGAGCCCCGUAUGGAUGGACACCAAACCUGUGUAAAGCUCCUUCAACGAGUCGAGUAGUUUGGGAAUGCUGCUCUAAAUGGGAGGUAAAUCUCUUCUAAAGCUAAAUACCGGCCAGAGACCGAUAGCGCACAAGUAGAGUGAUCGAAAGAUGAAAAGCACCUUGAAAAGGGGGUUAAACAGUACGUGAAAUUGUUGAAAGGGAAGCGCUUGUGACCAGACUUGCGCCGGGCAGCUCAUCAGGGGUUCUCCCCUGUGCACUCUGCCCGGCUCAGGCCAGCAUCGGUUCUCGUGGGAGGAUAAGAACAGUGGGAACGUGGCCCCCCUCCGGGGGGGUGUUAUAGCCCAUUGUACGAUACUCUCGUGGGGACCGAGGUUCGCGCUCCGCAAGGAUGCUGGC
rnacentral:rRNA from 1 species